rnacentral:rRNA from 1 species
GACGAACGCCGGCGGCGUGCUUAACACAUGCAAGUCGAACGGAAAGGCCUGCUUUCCCUUGUGGAUUGCGGGUACUCGAGUGGCGAACGGGUGAGUAACACGUGAGUGAUCUGCCCCCAACUUGGGUAUAAGCCUGGGAAACUGGGUCUAAUUCCCGAUAGGACUGCAGGGUGGUGCCUGUGGUGGAAAACGAUUUUCUAGUGGUUGGGGAUGGGCUCGCGGCCUAUCAGCUUGUUGGUGGGGUAAUGGCCUACCAAGGCGGCGACGGGUAGCCGGCCUGGGAGGGUGGACGGCCACAUUGGGACUGAGAUACGGCCCAGACUCCGACGGGAGGCAGCAGUGGGGAAUAUUGGACAAUGGGCGGAAGCCUGAUGCAGCGACGCCGCGUGGGGGAUGACGGCCUUCGGGUUGUAAACUCCUUUCGACCGCGAGGAAGCCACCUGGUUGGAAGGGUGGUGACGGUAGUGGUAGAAGAAGCACCGGCUAACUACGUG